GAUGAACGCUAGCGGCAGGCCUAACACAUGCAAGUCGAGGGGUAGAACACUUCGGUGUUUGAGACUGGCGCACGGGUGCGUAACGCGUAUGCAAUCUACCUUAUACAGGGGAAUAGCCCAGAGAAAUUUGGAUAAAUGCCCCAUAGCAUUACGACUUGGCAUCAAGAUGUAAUUAAAGUUCCAACGGUAUAAGAUGAGCAUGCGUCCCAUUAGUUAGUUGGUAAGGUAACGGCUUACCAAGACGAUGAUGGGUAGGGGUCCUGAGAGGGAGAUCCCCCACACGGGUACUGAGACACGGACCAGACUCCUACGGGAGGCAGCAGUGAGGAAUAUUGGUCAAUGGUCGCAAGACUGAACCAGCCAUGCCGCGUGCAGGAAGACGGUCCUAUGGAUUGUAAACUGCUUUUAUACAGGAAGAAACCCUCCCACGUGUGGGAGCUUGACGGUACUGUAGGAAUAAGGAUCGGCUAACUCCGUGCCAGCCGCCGCGGUAA
rnacentral:rRNA from 1 species